AUACGGAGGGUGCAAGCGUUACUCGGAAUCACUGGGCGUAAAGCGCGCGCAGGCGGCUUGAUAAGUUGGAUGUGAAAGCCUACGGCUCAACCGUAGAACUGCAUCCAAAACUGUCAGGCUAGAGUGUGGGAGAGGAAGAUGGAAUUAGUUGUGUAGGGGUAAAAUCCGUAGAGAUAACUAGGAAUACCAAAAGCGAAGGCAAUCUUCUGGAACACUACUGACGCUGAGGCGCGAAGGCGUGGGGAGCAAACAUGAUUAGAUACCCCGGUAGUCC
rnacentral:rRNA from 1 species